rnacentral:rRNA from 1 species
GAUGAACGCUGGCGGCGUGCCUAAUACAUGCAAGUCGAGCGAACGGACGAGAAGCUUGCUUCUCUGAUGUUAGCGGCGGACGGGUGAGUAACACGUGGAUAACCUACCUAUAAGACUGGGAUAACUUCGGGAAACCGGAGCUAAUACCGGAUAAUAUUUUGAACCGCAUGGUUCAAAAGUGAAAGACGGUCUUGCUGUCACUUAUAGAUGGAUCCGCGCUGCAUUAGCUAGUUGGUAAGGUAACGGCUUACCAAGGCAACGAUGCAUAGCCGACCUGAGAGGGUGAUCGCCCACACUGGAACUGAGACACGGUCCAGACUCCUACGGGAGGCAGCAGUAGGGAAUCUUCCGCAAUGGGCGGAAGCCUGACGGAGCAACGCCGCGUGAGUGAUGAAGGUCUUCGGAUCGUAAAACUCUGUUAUUAGGGAAGAACAUAUGUGUAAGUAACUGUGCACAUCUUGACGGUACCUAAUCAGAAAGCCACGGCUAACUACGUG